GACGAACGCUGGCGGCGUGCUUAACACAUGCAAGUCGAACGGAAAGGCCUCUUUCGGGGGGUACUCGAGUGGCGAACGGGUGAGUAACACGUGAGUAACCUGCCCUUGACUUUGGGAUAACUUCAGGAAACUGGGGCUAAUACCGGAUAGGAGCUCCUGCUGCAUGGUGGGGGUUGGAAAGUUUCGGCGGUUGGGGAUGGACUCGCGGCUUAUCAGCUUGUUGGUGGGGUAGUGGCUUACCAAGGCUUUGACGGGUAGCCGGCCUGAGAGGGUGACCGGCCACAUUGGGACUGAGAGACGGCCCAGACUCCUACGGGAGGCAGCAGUGGGGAAUAUUGCACAAGGGGUGGAAGCCUGAUGCAGCAACGCCGUGUGCGGGAUGACGGCCUUCGGGUUGUAAACCGCUUUCGCUCAUGACGAAGCUUUGUGUGACGGUAGUGGGUAAAGAAGCACCGGCUAACUACGUG
rnacentral:rRNA from 1 species